rnacentral:tRNA from 2 species
GCCCGGUUAGCUCAAUCGGUAGAGCGUGAGACUCUUACAAGUACGCGAUCUCAAGGUUGCGGGUUCGACCCCCGCAUCGGGCU